rnacentral:piRNA from 1 species
UAAAAUUGCCUAAGUCCUUCCAAGUC